rnacentral:rRNA from 1 species
CCUACGGGCGGCAGCAGUGGGGAAUAUUGCACAAUGGUGGCAAGCCUGAUGCAGCCAAGCCGCGUGAGGGAAGAAGGUUUUCUGAAUGUAAACUUCUUUUCUUAGUGAAGAAGAAUGACGGUAGCUAAGGAGCAAGCCACGGCUAACUGCGUACGAGCAGCCGAGCUAAUACGUAGGUGCCAAGCGGUGACCGGAAUUACUGGGUGUAAAGGGAGCGCAGGCGGGAAGCUAAGGCAGUGGUGAAAACUACGGUCCUAACGCGUAGACUGCAGUUGAACCUGGUUUUCUUGAGUGAAGGAGAGGUUGGCGGAAUGCCGAGUGUAGCGGUGAAAUGCGUAGAUAUUCGGAGGAACACCGGUGGCGAAGGCGGCCUACUGG